rnacentral:rRNA from 1 species
AGAAACCAACAGGGAUUGCCUCAGUAACGGCGAGUGAAGCGGCAACAGCUCAAAUUUGAAAUCUGGCCUCUUUGGGGUCCGAGUUGUAAUUUGUAGAGGAUGUUUCGGGUACCGCCUCGGUUUAAAUUUCUUGGAACAGAAUGUCAAAGAGGGUGAGAAUCCCGUCUUGGACCGGCGGUAGGGCCCAUGUGAAACUCCUUCGACGAGUCGAGUUGUUUGGGAAUGCAGCUCAAAAUGGGUGGUAAAUUUCAUCUAAAGCUAAAUAUUGGCCAGAGACCGAUAGCGCACAAGUAGAGUGAUCGAAAGAUGAAAAGCACUUUGAAAAGAGAGUUAAACAGUAUGUGAAAUUGUUGAAAGGGAAGCGCUUACAACCAGACUUGCGCGCGGCGGUUCCCCCUUCCUUUUGGUUGGGCUACUCCGUCGUGUCCAGGCCAACAUCGGUUCUGGGGGUCGGUUAAAGACCUUGGGAAUGUAUCUACCCUUCGGGCGUAGACUUAUAGCCCAGGGUGUCAUGCGACCUCCCGGGACCGAGGAACGCGCUUCGGCUCGGAUGUUGGCGUAAUG